rnacentral:rRNA from 1 species
UACGGAGGAUGCGAGCGUUAUCCGGAUUUAUUGGGUUAAAAGGGUGCAUAGGCGGAUCGUUAAGUCAGUGGUCAAAUUGAGGGGCUCAACCCCUUCCCGCCAUUGAAACUGGCGAUCUUGAGUGGAAGAGAAGUAUGCGGAAUGCGUGGUGUAGCGGUGAAAUGCAUAGAUAUCACGCAGAACCCCGAUUGCGAAGGCAGCAUGCCGGCUUCCUACUGACGCUGAAGCACGAAAGCGUGGGGAUCGAACAGG